CUCUCCCCUCCGCGGAGCGCUUUCCGGGGGCGUCGCCCUCACCCCGCGAGUGCCGCAGCCCCCGGUGCGCGCCAGGCGGCCUCCGGCGCGUUCUUGCCGCCGCCCCGCUGGCGAGGACCCCGCGGCGUGGAGUGGAGCGGAGCGCCGGGAAAGGGCGCGCAGUGCGCUCGGGAGUUCGAACCUGGCCCUAAGAUUUUAAAAAUACGUACAACGGGGCUGGCACUGUGGCAUAGUAGGCUAAGCCUCCAUGUCCUGCUUGCUCCACUUCCAAUCCAGCUCUCUGCUGUGGCCUGGGAAAGCAGUGGAAGAUGGCCCAAGUCCUUGGGCCCCUGCACCCACGUGGGAGACCUGGAAGAAGCUCCUGGCUCCUGGCUUUGGAUCGGCCCAGCUCUGGCUGUUGAGGGCAUUUGGGGAGUGAAGCAGCAGAUGGAAGACCCUUCUCUGCCUAUCUCUCUCUCUCUCUCUCUGCAGCACCACUUCUCAAAUAAAUAAAAUCUUUAAAAAAAUAGCUAAUAUAUACAUUACAAGAUGA